AAGAGGAGGGAGUAGCGUGGGGCUAAAACCCCUGUAAAUCUAAGGCUUAUUUCUCCUUUUCUUUUU
rnacentral:tRNA from 1 species